rnacentral:rRNA from 1 species
UCGGCAACGGUCAUAGCAGCAGGGAAACACCAGAUCCCAUUCCGAACUCGACGGUUAAGCCUGCUGCGUAUUGCGUUGUACUGUAUGCCGCGAGGGUACGGGAAGCGCAAUAUGCUGUUACCACUUUUGAAAUGAA